GCGUAACUCUAUUUAUAAUAGACUCUGCAGAAAGUAUUUGCAGUUUAGCUUUCAGUAUCGUGGAUAUUAGAUGGUGUUACCAUUUCGUCUGGUGUUUCGAAUAUUUCCGAUUGAUAAUUACCUACUAGGUACUGAAAAUUUUAUUCAAAAAGUCUUCUGUGAAAACUCCAAAGCAGAUUAUAGCCUACUGCUCAAAAUGACGAUCAGCCAGUGACCAAUGAAACAAACAAAAGCUUGAGCUGUGUGUUGAAUGCCGUGAAGGCCUAUUUUUAUCUUAGCUAAUCGCGUGAUUUUUGCUGUGACUCGCGUGUUAUCGAGUAUAAUAUUUUGUUCUACGUUUGGUGCAUUUUGUUGUGGUGUUGUCAAUAACAAAUACAUAGUUUGAAGAAGGCCACUUCGUGUAUCAAGUGCAAAAAGCGAAAUUCCAGUGAACAAAGGAAAUCAUAUUUCACAGGCAGCAAGGAUUGCCGCAUCGAUUUGUCAUAAACCGCUUCGGAUACAUUAGCCAGUGGGCAAUUUCGCAUACUAAACCAGGCACAUAUAACAGCAUCAUGCAGCGGUGGUGGUUUCUCGACGAAAAAAACGGAUCGGCCAGCAGCUUAGCUUCAUCGUCCGGGGUUGCAUCUAAAAAGACUAAACCCCAAAAACCUCCUGGUGAUCGACGUCAUAAGUUUCGAGUGUUGGUCACCUACGAGCUGUUGAAGGAUGAAACAAUAGCCGUUACGGGAAACUGCGAAGCUCUUGGCAAUUGGGAAUCGGAACAUUGUGUCCAGAUGCAGUUGGAAGAUGGUUCCACAAACAUAUGGUACUUGGAAAUUGACCUACCUCAGGACAUAGUAGUUUUCUAUCGGUACUUAAUUUGCUCUAUGGAUCCCAUAAGUGAAAAUGUUCAUGUUAGACGCUUCGAAACUCACACCAACCCACGCAAUAUCCCUAAGGACGGCAUGCCCAGCAGUGCCGACGAGGGAAAGAAAAUUGAUACACUCGGGGACAUCGAUGGUUCGAUUAAACUGGACAGAGGCUGGUUAACCAGCGAGACAAUAAUACAGUUUAAGUUCUUCGACAAUCCCUUUUCUGUAAAGGAGAGAAUAAAAAAUCGACUAUUGUAUGUAAAGAUAACACCGAUGAAUCUUCGUAUUAACGCAGAGUCCCAAAGCCUAUCGACCCUAUUGGAUGAAUCACUAUCGAAUGAUACUCGGGAGAAUGGAACCGAACACCAAGCAUACGCAUUUACAGAGGUGGUGUCGAUGGGCAAUGCCAAUGCAACCUUUGAGCAGCAGUCCCAAUUCGGAAGUCCUUACCACCCAGAAGACUUUCUGGUGUUUAAUGUGACGGUGGCGGAGCCAGAAAAUGUGGCCUAUCUAGUUGAUCUGUAUACGUACAGUUCACGUUCCAAGGAGGAUGAACCGCCUUAUCAUUUGGGCUACCACUAUAUUUUACCCAAUCUUUUGAAAAAAUCCGAAGGCAUUCUGGAGCUUCCUGUGACAUGUGCUAGUAAACAUCGUCCACUGGGAAUGAUGCGUAUCGAGUACCUGAAAAUAACUCCCUUGCUUCCGUCGUGUUGCAAUCUUGAACAAUCCUACAUCAGAUAUUGGAAUAAGCGGUGGACUGGGCUUGAUGUUGGUCAUCGUGGGUCAGGAACCAGCUUCAAGGCCAGCGACGGCAACGUGAUCCGAGAAAAUACAAUUGCUUCUCUGAAAAAUGCCGUUGCCCAUGGUGCUGACAUGGUUGAAUUCGAUGUUCAGCUGAGCAAAGACUUAGUACCAGUUAUCUAUCAUGAUUUCGACAUCUAUGUCUCACUGAAACGUAAAACGACCCUCGAGAUAAAUGAUAUGUUGGAGUUGCCGAUGCGUGAAUUGACGCUAGAGCAGUUGAAAAAUCUGAAGGUCUACCAUGUCGUAGAAGGUAGAAAUCGUGAAGCACGCUUCUUCGACGAGGAUCUGGAUGAGCAUCAACCGUUCCCACAACUGGCUGACGCACUGGAAUUGAUCGACUCUCACUGUGGUUUCAAUAUCGAAAUCAAGUGGUCGCAGAAACUCAAAGACGGCUCUAUGGAAUCGGACCUAAAUUUCGACUCGAAUCUAUACGUUGAUUGUAUUUUAAAAGUCGUUUUAGAGAAAGCCGGUAAAAGACGGAUAGUGUUCUCUUGCUUCGAUGCGGAUAUUUGUACAAUGUUGCGUCUGAAGCAGAAUCUCUACCCUGUGAUGUUCUUAACGCUAGGCGUUACCAGUCGCUAUCCGAGUUAUCACGAUCCACGCUGUAACUCGAUCGAGAUGGCUGUGAGGAACGCCUGUGCCACUGAACUACUAGGGAUUGUCGCGCAUACCGAGGAUUUACUGCGCGAUCAAACACAGGUUAACUUGGCGACAGAGAAAGGAUUAAUCGUAUUCUGUUGGGGCGAUGAUAACAACUGCAAAGAUACUAUCAAACAUUUAAAGAGCCUGGGAAUUCAUGCAAUCAUUUACGAUAAGAUGGACAUUUAUUCAGACAAAACUGUAAAAGAACAAGUGAACAAAAUUCCGAUCCCGCUCGUUGUGAUUCUGGCAGCAGGACCAAGCACACACUUCCUCGCUACAUCGUGAUUCUGGAUAUUUAUAGCUAAAUGAUGAACUCAACAACUAUUAAGUUGAAAGAAAAGGUUGUAAUGGCAGCUAAAAAGGCUCCAGCCUCUUCAAAUCAAGUAGAUGUUAUUAAACAUUCAAACGGCAGUGAGGAAUAUUUAGAAGAUGACCCUAUAAUCUUUGAAAAAUUGAGCUACAAGAAGCUUGAAUAUUAUGUCUAUCAGCCAAGUGAAACUUUUGCAGUCUGCCACACACAUCCCGGUAAGCCAACUGCCAAGUACCAGUACCGUCUGCGAUGGUGGCCGUCCCAUGUGAUUUGUGAUGUGAUGCGACAAUUCCUGAUCCUGAUCAAAGAAGGCUUCUUUCCCGAAGAUACAUCCAGGCUUUAAUAUGGAGAAAAUUAUUUCUACGGAUGGCACCGCUUAGAGUCUGAACAAAAUUUUGGUUAUCGAUAGAAAGGCAGAUUGUAUAUUCGACAUCAAUAACUACAGCAGUACAUUUAUAUAAUUGUUAUUCUCUUAGAAAUUAAAAUGUUUUUUUUUCUGUUUCCGUCAUUAUUUGUUUCUGAUCAUCAAUUAUCAAGAGUUAUAAACACUGAAGCAGAAUCCUGCUACGACCAAUUCAAACCGGGAGCUAAAAUAAACUAUUCAUUAUAAAGCCACACUAUGCUAAAGCCAAAUAAAUCAAAGUUAUACUAAGCGGGUAUAGUUGCCACUUAAUCUAACAUGGGGUCAACCAGGCGAGUAUCGGUUUAGCGUAACAUUAAUUCUAUUUAGUAUUUAUUUUUCUCAGAGUGUAGGUAGAUUUGGCUUCACUCUUUGCGCAACUCUAUAUAUCUAUAAUAGACUCUGCGCACAUCGAAAAAUUUCGAAUGAGCCACUGCGAAAGACGCUUUUCGUACCGUUAAUGGAAGGCGUGAAAAACGUACCCCCAUAUCUUGGCCAAAGUUCAACUUGGAACGCAAAAGUUCAGUUUAUUUUUAAUUAAUUUAGUUUACAUUUAAACGAAUAACACUGAAUCAUCAAUUUGACGCCACAAAAUUUCAGUUUACUUUACUUGAAUAAAAUAAAAAACAAAGACUUCCCGUGGA